AACGAACGCUGGCGGCGUGCCUAACACAUGCAAGUCGAACGGAAUCAAGGGGCUUGCUCCUUGGUUUAGUGGCGCACGGGUGAGUAACGCGUGGAUAAUCUGCCCUGGUAUCCUGGAUAACAUUUCGAAAGAGGUGCUAAUACGGGAUAAGCCCACGGGAUCUUCGGAUCUUGCGGGAAAAGGUGGGGACCUUCGGGCCUACCGUAUCAGGAUGAGUCCGCGUACCAUUAGCUAGUUGGCGGGGUAACGGCCCACCAAGGCGACGAUGGUUAGCUGGUCUGAGAGGAUGAUCAGCCACACUGGAACUGAGACACGGUCCAGACUCCUACGGGAGGCUG
rnacentral:rRNA from 1 species